rnacentral:rRNA from 1 species
UACGGAGGGGGCUAGCGUUGUUCGGAAUUACUGGGCGUAAAGCGCACGUAGGCGGCUUCCUAAGUCAGAGGUGAAAGCCCGGAGCUUAACUCCGGAAUAGCCUUUGAGACUGGGUCGCUUGAAUCCGGGAGAGGUGAGUGGAAUUCCGGAGUGUAGAGGUGAAAUUCGUAGAUAUUCGGAAGAACACCAGUGGCGAAGGCGGGCUCACUG